rnacentral:rRNA from 1 species
CCUACGGGAGGCAGCAGUGGGGAAUUUUGCGCAAUGCUCGUAAGAGUGACGCAGCGACGCCGCGUGAAUGACGACGGCCUUCGGGUCGUAAAGUUCUUUCGACAGGGAAGAAAAUGCCUAUAAGUAACUGUGUAUGUAUUGACGGUACCUGUAUAAGCAGCCCCGGCUAACUCCGUGCCAGCAGCCGCGGUAAUACGGAGGGGGCGAGCGUUGUUCGGAGUGACUGGGCGUAAAGAGCACGUAGGCGGUGUUGUAAGGUAUUAGUCAAAGACUAGAGCUCAACUUUAGUAAGGCUAGUGAUACUAGAAGAGUAGAGUAGCAGAGAGGAAUGCAGAAUGCCCGGUGUAGCGGUGAAAUGCGUAGAUAUCAGGAGGAAUACCGUUAGCGAAGGCGGCAAUCUGGCUGGAAACUGACGCUGAGGUGCGAAAGCGUGGGGAGCGAACAGGAUUAGAUACCCGUGUAGUC